AAGCACUUUGAAAAGAGGGUGAAAAGAGCCUGAAACCGUCAUGGGGGAAGCGGAUCGCGUUGGCCUGGUGGGCGCCUGUGUGUUCAGCCUUCGGGUGCAUUGGCACAGGUGCUUAUCCGCUGUGGGUUUUCGGGGGUCGAUUUUGGAUCCCUGGAGGCUGAGGGCUCCCUUCGGGUGAGGACAGCGGAGUGACGACGCGAUACGACCCGUCUUGAAACACGGACCAAGGAGUCUAGCGCGGGUGCGAGUCGGAGGGUGCAAGCCCGUGGGCGAAGUGAAAGCGAGUGUAAAAACGAGCAGUUUGGGGCGGCAUAAGAUCGUUGAUCUCAAGACCGACCCAGAGCAGUUGCGCUGGGACCCGAAAGAUGGUGAACUAUGCCGGAGUAGGGCAAAGCCAGAGGAAACUCUGGUGGAGGCUCGUAGCGGUGCUGACGUGCAAAUCGCUCGUCCAACUUGGGUAUAGGGGCGAAAGACUAAUCGAACCAUCUAGUAGCUGGUUCCCUCCGAAGUUUCUCUCAGGAUAGCGGGCCGACAAGUUGUUUUGUGCGGUAAAGCGAAUGAUUAGCGCACGUGGGGCCAUUUCGGCUUCAGGCGAUUCUCAAACUUUAAAUGCGCAAGGGUGUCGCUGCUUAAUUGAGCGGCACCGCUAAAAACGUCGGCCCUGUGGGCCACUUUUGGUAAGCAG
rnacentral:rRNA from 1 species